ensembl:lncRNA POU6F2-AS1 POU6F2 antisense RNA 1
GGAAACGAGGCUGGAAGGAAAAUGUUGGGGAGCUUGGUGGAGUCUGGGUUUAGGGCUAGCCCAGGAGGGAACGAGCCUGAACUUCAGGGGUGAGUUUCUUUCAGGGACAUCGAGCGAGGCAGGUGUUCCACCCCACUUUCUUGUUUGAGGGGAGAAGGAAACCAAAGCCAGUAGAAAUGGAAUUUAUGGCCUCCGUGCUCUCAGAGGGAGAAAAAAAUUCUCACUCAUCAGCCUAAAGAGAAACCCUGUCUUAUCCCAGAUUACCACCAUGGGAUUUAAAAUUCAGUGAGAAGACUGCUUGGGAAAUACUGUCUCCGAACUGCCGGUACAGACACUGCCCAUUGGUACAAUAUUUUUAGGUCAUCUGUCAAUUGCCAUGUUUGCAUUUCUUUCAUGCAAUACAAGUUGAAAUCAUAAUGAAUUUCUUGAGUUUCAGGAAUAUCUCAAAAUAAACUUCUUCAUCCUCAACAAAUGAUUAAA